AGACCACUGGCUAUCAUGCAGGAGUUGGCAUGGGAUUCAGAUGUUUCCCACUGGAAGCAGACAGAACUGGAAUAAGCGUGGUGAAAAUGCACAACAGGUACUGUUAAGUAUUCCUGCUGAGAGUCAGGAGCACAGAAAUCUAGCCACCAAAGGGAAGUCUCCAUCUCCUGAGCAGAGCAGUUUCUUACCUGGAGGGUGCUGUGGCAGGAAGAUGAGGACAAGGGUGCACUCCUUCAUGGAUGUCUCUGAACAUCUCUGCCCUUUCUCCACCAGAUUUGUCCCUGCUGCUGGCAGCAGCUGACUUCCCUGAUGGGAGAAAGGAAGCUGCUAAUGGGGAAACACCUUUGUCUCUGUUGGUUCAUUUUUCAUCAAGAGGAUAUUUCCUAGGAUAGGAAACUCUCAAAGGAAGGACAGUGUGCAGAAUAAGAAGAGCAGUGUACAUUUUCUCAUCCUCCCAACAAAGGAGAAAGGUAAAAGUUAUUUAAACACCACAAUAUAAUGCUCUGGUCUCUGACUAUGGUGAAUAUCAGGUGCUGAGGAUCUAAAGAUGAAGAUCACAGGUUCUGAUAAUGAUGGCAUUUGUUAUCCAAGCCCUUCCUUUGCCAUGCAGUGCUCAUCCCUGGGCCCCAGGGCACACAGACACCUACCUAUCUCCUCUACUCUACUGAUAAAUGCAGAAACAACGGUGGAGCCUGUUCUUUACAACUAAAGCAAUUCAGAAAUGAACAGAGAAGAAAUCUCCAAGUGACAGUAAUGCCCUGAAAGUGGGUUAGAAAGAGAACAUUGCUAUUUACCUUCCUUUCAAUGCUAUUUAGCUUGAGGGGACCAGAAUUGUCCAUACUACUGGAACCACGAAUACAA